UGGCGGCAGGCCUACCACAUGCAAGUCGAGCGGCAGCACGGGUACUUGUACCUGGUGGCGAGCGGCGGACGGGUGAGUAAUGCCUAGGAAUCUGCCUAGUAGUGGGGGAUAACGUCCGGAAACGGGCGCUAAUACCGCAUACGUCCUACGGGAGAAAGUGGGGGAUCUUCGGACCUCACGCUAUUAGAUGAGCCUAGGUCGGAUUAGCUAGUUGGUGAGGUAAUGGCUCACCAAGGCGACGAUCCGUAACUGGUCUGAGAGGAUGAUCAGUCACACUGGAACUGAGACACGGUCCAGACUCCUACGGGAGGCAGCAGUGGGGAAUAUUGGACAAUGGGCGAAAGCCUGAUCCAGCCAUGCCGCGUGUGUGAAGAAGGUCUUCGGAUUGUAAAGCACUUUAAGUUGGGAGGAAGGGCAGUUACCUAAUACGUGAUUGUUUUGACGUUACCGACAGAAUAAGCACCGGCUAACUCUGUGCCAGCAGCCGCGGUAAUACAGAGGGUGCAAGCGUUAAUCGGAAUUACUGGGCGUAAAGCGCGCGUAGGUGGUUUGUUAAGUUGGAUGUGAAAGCCCCGGGCUCACCCUGGGAACUGCAUCCAAAACUGGCAAGCUAGAGUAUGGUAGAGGGUGGUGGAAUUUCCUGUGUAGCGGUGAAAUGCGUAGAUAUAGGAAGGAACACCAGUGGCGAAGGCGACCCCUGGACUGAUACUGGACCCUGAGGUGCCAAAGCGGGGGG
rnacentral:rRNA from 1 species